UACGUAGGGACCAAGCGUUGUCCGGAAUCACUGGGCGUAAAGAGCGUGUAGGCGGUUAGACAAGUCCGUUGUGAAAGCCCAGGGCUCAACCCUGGGAGGUCAAGGGAUACUGUCUAACUAGAGUCCGGAAGAGGCGAGUGGAACUCCUGGUGUAGCGGUGAAAUGCGCAGAUAUCAGGAAGAACACCGAUAGCGAAGGCAGCUCGCUGGUACGGAACUGACGCUGAGACGCGAAAGCGUGGGGAGCAAACAGG
rnacentral:rRNA from 1 species